AUGAACGUUGGAGCGGCGUGGAUUAGGCAUGCAAGUCGAACGCUUUAUGUAGCAAUACAUGAAGAGUGGCGUAAGGGAGAGUAAAUCCAAUGGUUAGCUACCCUCGGGUCUGGGAUAUGCGGCGGGAAACUGCCGGUAAUACCAGAUGACAUCUUCGGAUCAAAGGUGUUGAUUCCGCCCGAGGAGGCGACCGUGUCCUAUCAGCUAGUUGGCGGUGUUGUAAUGGACCACCAAGGCUAAGACGGGUAUGGGGCGUUGAGAGCGUGCCCACCACUCACUGGGACUGAUGACACUGCCCAGACACCUACGGGUGGCUGCAGUCGAGAAUCUUCGGCAAUGGACGCAAGUCUGACCGAGCGACGCCGCGUGCGGGAUGAAGGCCUUCGGGUUGUAAAACGCUGUCGUAGGGAGGAGGAAGCGACCGUGAAGAACGGAAGUUAACCGAUCUAGGAGGAAGGGCCGGCUAAUCUCGUGCCAGCAGCCAGCCGCGGUAAUACGAGAUGGCCCAAACGUUAUUCGGAAUUACUAGGCUUAAAGAGUUCGAUAGGCGGCGCGGAAAGUAGGGUGUGAAAGCCCUCGGCUCAACCGAGGAAUUGCGCUCUAAACUACCGUGCUUGAGGAACACUAGAGAGUGAGCAGAACUGAUGGUGGACAGCGGUGUAUGAAAUGCGUUGAUAUCAUCAGGAAUACCGGAGGCGAAGGGCACGGGCUCACGGGGGUGUUAUCUGACGCUGAGGGAACGAAAGCAGGGGAAGGCGAACGGGAUUAGAUACCCCGGUAGUCCUGGCCGUAAACGAUGAGCACUAGACCGGAGAUCUGCACAAGUUUUCGGUCGUAGCUAAAGUGUUAAGUGCUCCGCCUGGGAGAGUAUGGUCGCAAGGCUGAAACUCAACAGGAAAUUGACGGGGGCUCACACAAGCGGGUGGAGGAUGUGGCUCAUAUUCGAGGCUACGCGAAAGAACCUUAUCCUAUGUCUUGACAUGGUUUGGAAUCCUCUCGAAAGAGAGGGGUUGCCCGCAAGGGAGCCUUACACAGGGUUGCUGCAUGGCUGUCGUCAGUCUCGUGUCGUGGAGAUGUCGGUGGUUAAGUCCCUUUAACGAGCGAAACCCUUGUCACUUAGUUUACCAGCGGGGUCAUGCCGGGGACUCUACGGAGACUGCCGGCUACCGGUGUUAAAACCGGAGGAAGGUCGGGCGUGAUGACGUCAAGUACCUCAUGGCCUUUAUGACUAGGGCUGCACACGUCCUACAAUGGCGCGCACAAAGCGACGCAAACUCGCAAAGAGCCAAGCAAUAUCGCAGAAAAUAGCGCGACCCCAGUUCGGAUUGCAGGCUGCAACCCGCCUGCAUGAAGCCGGAAUCGCUAGUAAUCGCGGGUCAAGCAUACCGCGGUGAAAUGUGUUUCCUGAGCCUUGUACACACCGCACCGUCAAGCCACGAAAAGUGGUGGGGCGCCCAACAGUCCUGUCGUAACCGCAAGGAGACAAGGGACCUAAGUGCGAACUCCGUGAUUGGGA
rnacentral:rRNA from 1 species